AUGCAGUCCGUGCCCUCCACAAGUCUACCUGAAUUCUCUCUUCUUGUAGAUUUGAAAGCAAUUAUGGUGAACUUUUCAACAGUAUCUGUCUCCAGUGCAAUUCCUUUGAACUUCACGAUUGGAUUUUGCUCCUUUUUCUUUGCAGAAAUGGAACUGAAACACAUCAGUUACCUUAUGGUAGCACCAAUCUCUACUGGUGGAGUCUACAGGCUGCAGGCAAACCUUGAAGAAGGUCUCCUAGAGCAGCAUGAAAGGAUGCUGUCCGAGGCUGUUAGUACAUGA
rnacentral:lncRNA from 1 species